CCCACCAGACGACAACGAUCGCAACGUUACGCAUCGGCCUGCGUAACAGACGAAUCCACGAAUACUCUCCAUAUGUUAUCGGUAUGAAAAACCCGACGAUUGUUAUGAAUUAGGUAAUAAUUAUAAUACGCCAUUUAUUGUAUGUUACGAUGUCGGCAGACAUUUGUAUUAUGAUAUUAUUAUUGCAUACUCGGAUAUUCCCUGAAGCGGUUAACCUUGUUCAAUAGUGUGGAGCGACUAAUAGGUAUAUUUAGAGAGUUAGAUACGUG